AUCUGUUCAGCGAUGGAGAGGCUCCAAAACCAGCUGCAAAAGAAGGGCAGGCUCAAAACAACGCUCCUACCCAGAAGCCUGCUCCUGUUGCUCAACCAGUAGAUAUUACCAAGCAGCUUCCUGCUGGUAUCAACAGUACUUCAAUGAACAACUAUAUGCGGGCAGAUGGUCAGAACACUGGCAACUUCAUUACGGUAUGAUUCCUAUUCCAAUAGCUUUGUUUGCAUAUUCUGUGAUGCUUGUAAUGCAUCAGUGUGUGAUUUUUUUAACUUGUUUGUUUGUUCUGAACAUUCUAAAGGAAUGGUUUUGUCUCUCUUGGGAAAUUAAUAAAAUUGUUCUUCAGGAAUAGUUUGUUCUAUAGAGAGAACAGCAACCAUCAUUCUGUGUGAGGCAUAAAAAUUGUAGUCCACAAUAUUUUGAUGCUUCGGUCUUGGGUAGUUCAAAAGACUUUUGUUUUCACUACGUUUGUGUUUUGGGGAUUUGAACUGUAAAAGAACUUCUAUUCUUGUUUCAGAUUUCCUAUUGAAGUUAGAUCUUUGUUUUAAAAUUUUUGUGAAGUGAGACUAUUGCCGGAAAUUGUUAACCAUUUUGUAAAUCAAAUGUCUUGCUAUGGUUCUAGGAAAUGUAGUAGGCCCAACUAACUGCGGUGUACAUCAAGACUUAAAAAUGCAGUUGGUACAUGUUGCAUGCUUUUAUGAAGUAAUGAGGAAUAAUUUGCUUCGUGUCACAUACAGAGUCAAGAAAUGAGUAUCUGAGCCCCUAUUAGUUGGUUUCAAAUAAUCAAUUCACUUGCGCAUGAACCACUUGCGUUCAUUCCCCUCCACCAUUAGCAUGAUUUUCUUGUUAGACAUUGUGCAACUUGAAUUUAGUUCAAAUUGUUUUUACAUGAUGGUUGUAUCUGUCAUUUAGUUUCAAUAAGCCUUAAAUGUCUUGGGCCUCUUAACUAUGUAAAAUCCAAAACUAAGUUUCCCAAAAGUAUGCAUUAUUCUGUGAGUCUAUUUAGAUUGCGUAAGCUUGUUUUAACUGUCUGUUGAACGGCUAAAUUUAUCAUUGUGAUGACAAUCUCUCUGCGUUUUUUUUUUUUUGUUGCAGGAUCGGCCUUCAACCAAGGUCCAUGCUGCCCCCGGUGGUGGAUCUUCACUAGGUUACCUCUUUGGUGGUGGCAGCAACUGAGAUGUGCCUCCCUAUCUCCAUAUGAAGUAUUGUUGUGAUUUUUGUGAAAAUGUAAUUUGGAUGAGGCAAUGCACUCAUCGUUUACAUAAACAAUUCAACUCGUUUGAUGUUGUGAUGUAAUAUAAAGAUGGUGUGGUUGUCUGCUUAAUUCAAUCAAGAAUAUUUUUAUGC
rnacentral:lncRNA from 1 species